CAUCAUUCUUAUCUUGGUAAAACCAAAACCCUAUCUUCCACCUUCACCCUCCCUCUCAAACUCAACCGCCUCCACCCAAAACCCCUCAUAUUCUCUUCAUUCCCAAAAAUCUCCGCCGCAGCAUAACCGGAUCGAGAGACAGCGAGAGAUGAGUGAGGAUCGAGAGAGAAGAGGAUUAUGGUUUGUUAUUGUUUCACCGAGAGAGAAGAGGAUUAUGGUUUGUUGUUGUUUCAUCGUGAGAGAUACAAAGUGUGGUUGAGAGAGAGGCGUGUAGCAGGGAAAGAGAAGGAGAUUGGGGGUUAGGUCAAGAUGUUACGCUUUGUUGGUAGCUAAACCAUGUGCUUGUAUAUUGAGUCUGAGAUUGAGAAAGCUUCAGCCGUUUCAGCCUCUUCGCCGCGCCGUAUCGCUCAAAAUCUCUAGAAAUUGGUUUCAGAACAUGAUUGUCCCCAUUUACUGUUCUAUGGUCCAUCAGGUUCUGGCAAGAAAAGCCUAAUCAUGACUCUUCUCCGUCAAAUGUUUGGACCCGGUGCUGAAAAGGUGAAGGUGGAAAAUAGAGCAUGGAAAGUGGAUGAGUAAAUGCCGAUGAUGUUCGAGUCUCUGUGGCAGGAGCCCUUUUUUCUGUAGUGCCAUGGACACAGUGUGAACAAGUUAUUCAAAUAGCUUUACAGAUGUUAGAUGAAGGAUGAAGGAUGAAGGAUGAAGGAUGAAGAAAUAGAUUCACUAAUUUUAACAGAGUCAUGAUGGACAUUGGCCAGGAGAUUAUGGAGGUCCCAUGUUUCUUAUGCCUGGAUUGGUUAUUACUUUGUCUGUCACCGGGGCUUUGAAUGCAGUCUUAACCGACGAGCAUAGAAAGGAAAUGCGCCGUUACCUCUAUAAUCAUUAGGUAACAACUUCACUCUAUCUUUCACGCUAAUCAGUGGGUUUUUUUUCCAUAAGUUCUUGUAAUUAAUUAGUUAGAUGUAACUGCAGAACAAGGAUAGUGGGUGGGGUUUGCAUAUUGAAGGUCCAAGCACAAUGUUUGGCUCUGUCUUGUGUUACGUUACUCUAAGGUUGCGAGGGGGGGACUGAAUGAUGGAGAUGGGGAUAUGGAGAAGGGACGUGACUGGAUUCUUGAGCAUGUGGGGGAAAAUGUGGCUAUCAGACAAAUCUUACUCCACAUUCCUCUUAGUGAUUUGUUUCUUCCUGAAUAUCGAUGUUCAUUGAUUUCUUGACUAUAUUUUUGGAUUUACCUAUAACCUGAAAAAGUUGUGGGAAUUAUACUGACUGUUUCAUUUCUUGUUUAAAGGUUGGUUAUUUUUUUAGUCUAUAACACAUGACAAUGCCAUCUUUUGACAGUAGGUAUUUUAUAAAUGCAGAUUGUUCUCCAAAGGAAUAAACCUUCACUUGAGCAAAUAAGUAAAAGAGUGAAGUAAAUUAUAUCAAAUGGGAUCCUACUGGUUCACUACUGGCCUCGUGUUCAGACGAUAAAUAGUGUUGCGAAUACAAUGAACAAUAUUGUUGAUAUUUUGAAUUGUAUAUGUUGAUAUUUUGAAUUGUAUAUUUCAGGGUUGUAAUUAGAAUGCAAUAGAUACUCUAUAUAAACAUAUCAAAUUUAUAAUGGGUCACAUACUAGUACAUUAUAAUUGUGAUUAUAU